rnacentral:rRNA from 1 species
AACGAACGCUGGCGGCAGGCUUAACACAUGCAAGUCGAGCGCCCCUCCUUCAAGCAAGCUUGAAGGAAUUUUCCUUGGAAAGAGAAGAUCAAAAAGCUUCUUAAGAAGCUUUCUUGAUGGAGGGGAGCGGCAGACGGGUGAGUAACGCGUGGGAAUCUACCUAUCUCUGCGGAACAACUCCGGGAAACUGGAGCUAAUACCGCAUACGCCCUAUUGGGGAAAGAUUUAUCGGGGAUAGAUGAGCCCGCGUUGGAUUAGCUAGUUGGUGGGGUAAAGGCCUACCAAGGCGACGAUCCAUAGCUGGUCUGAGAGGAUGAUCAGCCACAUUGGGACUGAGACACGGCCCAAACUCCUACGGGAGGCAGCAGUGGGGAAUAUUGGACAAUGGGCGCAAGCCUGAUCCAGCCAUGCCGCGUGAGUGAUGAAGGCCCUAGGGUUGUAAAGCUCUUUCACCGAUGAAGAUAAUGACGGUAGUCGGAGAAGAAGCCCCGGCUAACUUCGUGCCAGCAGCCGCCGUAACAC